rnacentral:rRNA from 1 species
AUUGAACGCUGGCGGCAUGCCUAACACAUGCAAGUCGAACGGGGUGUAGCAAUACAUCUAGUGGCGGACGGGUGAGGAAUACAUAGGAAUUUGCCCUUAAGUGGGGGAUAGUCCGGGGAAACUCGGUUUAAUACCGCAUGAUCUCGUGAGAGCAAAGCAGGGGACCGCAAGGCCUUGCGCUUUUGGAGAAGCCUAUGUCGGAUUAGCUAGUUGGUAGGGUAAUGGCCUACCAAGGCAACGAUCCGUAACUGUCUGAGAGGAUGAUCAGUCACACCGGAACUGAGACACGGUCCGGACUCCUACGGGAGGCAGCAGUGGGGAAGUAUUGGACAAUGGCGGCAAGCCUGAUCCAGCAAUGCCGCGUGUGUGAAGAAGGCCUCGG